CGCAAAGGCAGCCCGAAUCCCGGCGGCUCCGCGCAGCCCGGGGAUGGACGGGGAGUGCGGCGGGGAGAGCUCGGGGUUUGCAUCCCGGGUCUGUCCGCCGAACGACGGUUCGAUGGUGAUCUCGUGCAGUGCAGGAGGACGAUUCCCUUCAGUGAAAAUCUUAUUAUUUUGUUUGAUCUCGCAGUUUUUCAAGAGCUAUUGCUAACAGCUGUGGAGAGAUUUGCAUCCCCCCUCCGGGGCAGAGGUGACUACUGGCUACGGCUGCUCCCAACGAGGCACUCGAACAGGAAACACAAUUGGCAGCAGCCCCCCUCCCCCAUUUACUGACACCGAACUCUCGGGCUGUCCCUGCCAGCCCCACGGACGGCUUUAAAUCGUCCCUUCCCACCUCCCUUCCAGGAGAAUGUACAAAACUGAUCGUCCCUAAUUCCAAAACAGAGAAAUCUAAGACUGAAAAAGACUUUUGGGACUGGAGACAGCUGCAUCAGCCCAAGACUUUCCAGAGAUGCUGAGUGAUGGUGCCGUACAGUGGAUGAACGCAGAGCAUAGGAGCGGGCAGGAGAGAUGCGUGAUGAAGAAGAGCCAGUGCUGGCGAGAUAACGGCUCCCAGCUGUUUUAGGGCUUAGGGUUUUUUUUCCUUUCCUAUCCUUUCCGUUUUCUUUUCCCCCUCCAGCUGGCGCGGUGCCCGCCCGGCUCUCGCAGCCCUCUCGCUGCCGCUGAUUGACAGGCCGAGGUCAGGGAGAGCUCUCCGGCGCUGCUGGUGUCGGGUUUCGGGGACUCCAGAUAAAGCAGCUCCAGCGCUGGGCGACCCCUGCGGCCCCGCCGGGGCAGGAACCUCUCAAACUUCUUCCUCCCUUCCGCCACGCUCCGGGAGGCAGCGGGUAAAGGUUUAUUCCAGAGAGGUCCCAAAUGGUGAUGGCACCGCAUGGAUACAAUGCACCACUCUAUGAGCUCCCCGCAGACUCCCAUUUCCAGCAUGGAAAUGAAGGGAGCUGGGAGGACACGUUUGCACAGAUACAGAGAUGGGCUUCUUCCUAAACUUGGGUGUUUUCGUUCAGCAUCGCAGUGAUGCACACACAUUGCAAAUGCGUCGCGUAGCUGGUGCCUGUCUCUGACGGCUGAAUCCUGCAGCCUCCCAGCAGCAAAACAGAUCUGAUUCUGCUCUUCCCACUAAUGAGACUUUUCCAGGAAGGCUUUAUAAUGG
ensembl:lncRNA